CAUAUCCUUAUCAGAAGAGACAAGGCCAACCAACUGGCAGAAGGCCUGUAAGGGAGCAGCCAAGAACAAGGUGAACUGACUUCCAGAUUGUGUUACAUCAGCACCUAAGAUCUUGAAUGAUGGCCUCAGGGGAACUGACUUCCAGAUUGUGUUACAUCAGUACCUAAGUUCUUGAAUGAUGGCCUCAGGGGAGAGAGAAAUAAAGCACUUUUUUCUCCUCGUUCUGCACCAUGUAGAACCUGGAGAGCAAUUGGUGAUGUAUCAGCAACGAAACAGUCCUCUUCUAAUGGUAGUUUUCAGAAUUGAACUUGCGAAUAAAUAAGUCAUACGUGAAGUGCAAUAUUUACAACAGUAGU
rnacentral:lncRNA from 1 species